rnacentral:rRNA from 1 species
GACGAACGCUGGCGGCGUGCUUAACACAUGCAAGUCGAACGGAAAGGCCCUGCUUGCAGGGUACUCGAGUGGCGAACGGGUGAGUAACACGUGGGGGAGCUGCCCUGCACGUCGGGAUAAGCCUGGGAAACUGGGUCUAAUACCGGAAAGGAGCCAAUGGUAGUGUGAUGGUUGGAAAGUUUUUUUCGGUGUAGGAUUAGCUCGCGGCCUAUCAGCUUGUUGGUGGGGUAAUGGCCUACCAAGGCGGCGACGGGUAGCCGGACUGAGAGGGUGGACGGCCACAUUGGGACUGAGAGACGGCACAGACUCCUACGGGAGGCAGCAGUGGGGAAUCUUGCACAAUGGGCGCAAGCCUGAUGCAGCGACGCCGCGUGGGGGAUGACGGCCUUCGGCUUGUAAACUCCUUUCGCUAGGGACGAAGCUUUUUGUGACGGUACCUAGAUAAGAAGCACCGGCUAACUACGUG